rnacentral:lncRNA from 1 species
AGCUUGGAGCCGCAGGGCUUAAUCCCGCGCGGCUCAGAGAUGGGUUUCUGGACUCGCGAAGCAGCUGCAACAAGGCAUCACUCACUGUAUAAGUAUUUCCAUUUCUGAGAGCAAAAGGAAGAACUUAAGCGGGCGGCACUUGGAGUGUAAAUUGCUUUGUAGUAUUUAAAGGCAGAAUGGAUCCUGGGCAGCCGAGCUGGUCAUGAGGUUCCUGAGGCCUCCUAGCCAUGCUUCCUGUGCAGCCUAUGGAACUGAUCACUGUUGUAUUUUUAAACCUUAUUCCUGGAAGCACUACGGAUAUCAGAUCAAUUUAGAAAGCCAAAGAGUACCUCUGGGAAUGAAAUGGUAGUAAUAGAAACAAUAUUUGGCCAAACUAUCGCUGUAUGCCAAUGAUGCCAAAAAUCACAGUAACCUGGCAGGAACAAACCGGCAGGACUUCCUGUGAAAUCAUGACCACCAUGUGCUCUUUCAGCCUCUAUCAGUUCCUACCUCUAAGCACCUGAGAGCCAAAGCAAACCACAGGAAACCACAGGCUCAAACUAAACGUCAGCUUUUCCCGGCUCUCAAGCCUGCUGGUCCCUGAACUAAAACUCACAUUAUCAACUCUACUGGUUCUUAGGCCUUUGGAGUCAGACUGGAACUACAGCAUUGACUCUUCCGGAACUCCAGCUUACUGACUACAGAUCUUGGAACUUUUCAGCUUCCACAACCAUGAUGAAAGCCAAGCAUAUUCCAUCAUUUCCUAAAACCAAGAUAGAGCACAUAUGGGAACUUGUGAAAUAAGGAUGCCCUGCGGUUGUUUUCAGGACUGAAGACAACAGCUCCACGAUGAAACCAAAGCACAAAGAGAGAAAGAAAAGAAAGAGAAAAAAGGAAGAAAGAAAAGAAAGAUGAAAGAAAGAAAGAGAAAGAAGAGAGAGGGAGAGAGAGAAAGAAAGAGAAGGAAAGAAAGAAGGAAGAAGAAAGAAAGAAAGAAAGAAAGAAAGAAAGAAAGAAAGAAAGAAAGAAAGAAAGAAAGAAAGAAAGAAAGAAAAAAGGAAGGAAGGAAAAGAAACACAUGGAAAGUGGCAGGCUCCCUUUGUAUAUCACCUUGCAUGGUAAAGUGCAGAGAGCUCCAUCAGAGAAAUGCAGUUAAAAUCCAGUAGAUACCACCGUACACCUGAAAGACUUGUGAACAAACAGAUGACAGAAAAACAAAACAAAGCAAAACAGAACCUGAGAAUUUGAAUUGCUGGUUCUUUGGACCUUUUAAGUUGCAUUAUCCCAUAAAAUGUGGUGGAUUCAAUGUUGUAUGGCCUGUAAAACUAAGUAAUGAAGGCUGAUAUGUACCCACCUGGCUCUGUCUUGGGAUCACACAACUUGGGAGCCAAAACAGGUUGCAAAUGAUGUUCAAAUCAAGGACUGGCUUAAGGGAGAAAAUCAAUUAUACUGUACAACUCACACUUAAGACCUCAGAGAGAUCUAAGAUGAUUCUUUAUAUAAUUUUUAAAACAAUCACCCCUCUAAGGAGCAUAACAAUGUGUUUUAAAUGUCCUCCCCAUUAUACAGUGAGACUUAUAAGAAUCUCAAGGAUAUAAUUGUGAUCUCUUCCCAGGAAAAAGGUAAUGAUCCUGGAACAAGAUAUAUAUGCCUGGAUGAGACUUGGCUGUUCUAAAAAACUACAGCUUGUCCUGUGGAGAACUGUGAUUACUUCUGAUGGAAAAUGACAGGCUGAAUGCCAGAAGGCAAAGCAACUGUUUUCCUAAGAGUCUUAAGACCCUGAAGGACUUGUGCCUCCUUUGGUGAUCUAGGGGAUAAAGAAGUGGAAUGGAAAUGGAGAGGAAUAGCUGGAACAAAAAGGCAAAGAGGUGAGGAUGGGGAGGUGUCAAACAAGACCUAACCUCUCAACAAUCAGCUGGACACUGUUGUGUAAGAAUGUGAAGCUUGGCACUGCUGCAGCCAUCUUGUUCCAGGAAGGGUAAAACCUGAGGUUAGAAGCCAACAUCCUAAUGAUGGCAGAGAAGACAAAGAGAACCAGAGUCUAAAUGACAUUGUUGAGUUAGAUCACUACACUACCUCUAGUCUUCUUUUUAUCUGGGAACAAAGAAAGAGUCCCAUUGCAUUGCGGGUUGCUGGCCAGAUCCCGCAAUACAGUACUGCUUUAGAAACAAAGUAACAGAACAAAAAUAAAAGGGAAUAGAGUUCUCCACUUCUGUAUAGUGGGUGGUGGGCAGGGGAACACUGAGAUCUGUAGAGAAGAGAGGCUCCUUCAUUGCAUGUAUAGCGGGGUGUCAGUGCCCCAGAGAAAGCAAUGGUUUCCAGAUGGAAGCUGAUGGACAGAUGCUGGAAGCAUUGGCAGAGCAUCUUCAUGGAGGAAGCAAAGAACUUUUGUGGACACAAAAAAGGUAAGGGGUUUCACCUUGUUGCCCAAGCUGGUCUUGAAGUUCUGGGCUCAAGCGAUCUGCCUGCAUUAGCCUCCUAAAGUUCUGGGAUUACCAACAUGAGCUACCAUGCCUGGGUCAAAGCCAUUCUCUGAGCUGAAGAAAAACUACAAAAGAUAGAAACUCAGAUGUGCAGGAAAGAAUAUAGACACCAAAAAAGGAGUGCAAUUUUGACCAAUUACUUUUUACUGGAAGAACUUCAAGAAUAGCUAUGAAGCAUAUGAAGAGGUCUUAGUCCGAGUGAUCCUGAUGCUAGUCAAGGAAGGGAAUGACUGGUUAGAAUCAAUGCCCACACCUGAGAAUUGUGCUUGAGAUAGAUUCUCCUGAAGACACAGGGCUUCACAGGAAGGAGAGAUAAUUAUUGGAUGGAAAACAGAACUGAGAAGAGAAAUCACUUGUGUCCCAGCACCAUUUGUUGAAAAGGAUAUUCUUUCCCUGUUGAAAUAAUGUCUUGGCACCCAAACUGAAAAUGAAUUCACCUCAGGUGGCCAAAUAGGAACAGCUCUGGUCUGCAGCUCCCAGAUGUACAAGAUGGGUGAUUUCUGCAUUUCCAACUGAGGUACCUGGGACUGGUUGGACAGUGGGUGCAGCCCACAGAGGGCGAUCCAAAACAGGGUGGGGCAUUGCCUCACCCAGGAAGGGCAAGGGGUCGGGGGAUUUUCCUUUCCUAACCAAGGGAAGCCGUGACAGACUGUACCUGGAAAAUUGGGACACUCUUGCCCAAAUAC